rnacentral:rRNA from 1 species
GAAAGACCCUAUGAAGCUUUACUGUAGCCUGGAAUUGGGUUCGGGCUUUAACUGCGCAGGAUAGGUGGGAGGCUAUGAGAUGUUCCUUGUGGGGAACAUGGAGCCAACGGUGAGAUACCACUCUGUUAAGGCUAGAAUUCUAACUUGUGCCCGUGAUCCGGGACGAGAACAGUUUCAGGUGGGCAGUUUGACUGGGGCGGGCGCCUCCUCAAA